rnacentral:rRNA from 1 species
UACGUAGGGGGCAAGCGUUGUCCGGAUUUAUUGGGCGUAAAGAGCGUGUAGGCGGCCAGGUAGGUCCGUUGUGAAAACUCGAGGCUUAACCUCGAGACGUCGAUGGAAACCAUCUGGCUAGAGUCCGGAAGAGGAGAGUGGAAUUCCUGGUGUAGGCGGUGAAAUGCGCAGAUAUCAGGAAGAACACCGGUGGCGAAGGCGGCAUCCUGGACCGACACUGACGCUGAGGAGCGAAAGCCAGGGGAGCAAACGGGA